GUGAGGAAUAUUGGACAAUGGGCGCAAGCCUGAUCCAGCCAUGCCGCGUGCAGGAAGACGCAUCUAUGGUGUGUAAACUGCUUUUGUACGGGAAGAAACACUCCCUCGUGAGGGAGCUUGACGGUACCGUAAGAAUAAGGAUCGGCUAACUCCGUGCCAGCAGCCGCGGUAAUACGGAGGAUCCAAGCGUUAUCCGGAAUCAUUGGGUUUAAAGGGUCCGUAGGCGGUUUAAUAAGUCAGUGGUGAAAGCCCAUCGCUCAACGAUGGAACGGCCAUUGAUACUGUUAGACUUGAAUUACAAGGAAGUAACUAGAAUAUGUAGUGUAGCGGUGAAAUGCUUAGAUAUUACAUGGAAUACCAAUUGCGAAGGCAGGUUACUACUUGUGGAUUGACGCUCAUGCACGAAAGCGUGGGGAGCAAACAGGAUUAGAAACCCUGGUAGUCC
rnacentral:rRNA from 1 species